rnacentral:pre_miRNA from 9 species
UAUGGUUAGUUUUGCAGGUUUGCAUCCAGCUGUGUAAUAUUCUGCUGUGCAAAUCCAUGCAAAACUGACUGUGGU